rnacentral:lncRNA from 1 species
CUGUCCUUUGCCCUGUGUCUGCAGGUCUCCCCAAGGGGUAGACAGGCCCAGGAUUCGCACUCAGGAAAGUUAGGGCAGGGGAGAGGCAAUGAGGGAAGCAGUCCCCGAGGGAGGUUUGCCGGCCCUGCUUCCAGGGCUUCCCCUUGCUGUCCGAAUGUGAUCACAUCCAGCAGCUCUUGUCCCUGUCCCUUCCCCUUCCCCGGUCCAGAGCAGCCAUGGUUCCCAGCCCCCACUAUCCAGCCGAGGGCCCCUUUCUGUCCAGGUCCGGUUACUCUUGGGUGGAAACAGGAUCACAGGCUGGAGAAAAAGGGCGCUGUUAAGUCAGCUCUGCUGUGUGAGGUGGGCCACCUCCCCCCAGCUUGCUGCUCGGCACGGAAGAUCAAGCCAGGAGUCCCUCCCCUGCCCCCCUCAAGUUCCUCACUCCAUCCGUAACCUUCCUUUGUAGAGCCCUUACUCACCUCCUUCCUGUUUCUUAACCCUUCCCACAUUCCCCGGACCGAGGGCUCCUGCUUUUCCACGCUCUUCUCUUUGCUGGCUACCUUGCUUAUUUCCUUAUUUCACCCUGGGGUCCCGGGAAGCGUCGGCACCCUGAAUGGCCUUGCCUGGCGUUCUCAACACUCCCUGACUGCGGUCUGUCCUGUCUCCAACUAUCUUGCAUAUUUCGCCAUUUCCACACAGCCACACUUGCUUUCUCCCAUCUCUCCAAAUAUCUCCCUUUUUAUACAUUUUUUAAUGGUUAUUUAUUUUUGAGAGAGAGAGAGAGAGAGAGAGAGAGAGAGAGAGAGAGAGAGAGACACAGAAUCCAAAGCAGGCUCCAGGCUCCGAGCUGUCAGCACGGAGCCCCACGCAGGGCUUGAGCUCACAAACUGAGAUCAUGACCUGAGCCCAAGUCGGACGCUUAACUGACUGAGCCCCCCAGGCGUCCCAUACGAAUAUCUUCCUCUUACCACCACCCGUACCCCAGUAUUCCCUCAUUUACACUCUGCCUGGGUCUGUAGACACCCCCUUGACAAGACAAAGCUUUUAUAAUCCCGCCCCCCCCCCCCAAGCCUCCUUCCUGUCCUAAUUCUGUCCUUCCUCCAACUUUUCCCUCUCCAGCUCUACCCUUCCCCGCCCAGGCUGGCCCACAAGUCACGGUCACCCUCGUCUCUUCCCCGUGGGCUACCUCCCGCCAUGUUCCCCUGAGCCCCCAAGGAGGGGGCUCAGGGGGCCCGAUGGCCUCCCGCCCCCCGUGGCCCCACAGCCCCCGUGGGCCAGGGGAAGUGCCU